UACGUAGGGGGCUAGCGUUGCUCGGAAUCACUGGGCGUAAAGCGCACGUAGGCGGAUUGCUAAGUCAGGGGUGAAAUCCUGGAGCUCAACUCCAGAACUGCCUUUGAUACUGGCGACCUUGAGUCCGGGGGAGGUGAGUGGAACUGCGAGUGUAGAGGUGAAAUUCGUAGAUAUUCGCAAGAACACCAGUGGCGAAGGCGGCUCACUGGCCCGGUACUGACGCUGAGGUGCGAAAGCGUGGGGAGCAAACAGG
rnacentral:rRNA from 1 species